rnacentral:tRNA from 4 species
GCCGUGGUGGCGGAAUUGGUAGACGCGCGAGACUUAAAAUCUCGUGAUAGCAAUAUCGUGUGGGUUCGAUUCCCACCCGCGGCA